GAUGAACGCUGGCGGCGUGCCUAAUACAUGCAAGUCGAGCGAACAGACGAGGAGCUUGCUCCUCUGACGUUAGCGGCGGACGGGUGAGUAACACGUGGAUAACCUACCUAUAAGACUGGGAUAACUUCGGGAAACCGGAGCUAAUACCGGAUAAUAUAUUGAACCGCAUGGUUCAAUAGUGAAAGACGGUUUUGCUGUCACUUAUAGAUGGAUCCGCGCCGCAUUAGCUAGUUGGUAAGGUAACGGCCUACCAAGGCAACGAUGCGUAGCCGACCUGAGAGGGUGAUAGGCCACACUGGAACUGAGACACGGUCCAGACUCCUACGGGAGGCAGCAGUAGGGAAUCUUCCGCAAUGGGCGAAAGCCUGACGGAGCAACGCCGCGUGAGUGAUGAAGGUCUUCGGAUCGUAAAACUCUGUUAUUAGGGAAGAACAAAUGUGUAAGUAACUAUGCACGUCUUGACGGUACCUAAUCAGAAAGCCACGGCUAACUACGUG
rnacentral:rRNA from 1 species